UAGGUUGGUGCAAAAGUAAUUGCAGUUUUUGCCACUACUUUCAAUGGCAAAAACUGCAAUUACUUUU
ensembl:miRNA